rnacentral:rRNA from 1 species
AUACGGAGGGUCCAAGCGUUAUCCGGAUUCAUUGGGUUUAAAGGGUCCGCAGGCGGGAAAAUAAGUCAGUGGUGAAAGCCUACAGCUCAACUGUAGAACUGCCAUUGAAACUGUUUUUCUUGAGUAUAGAUGAAGUGGGCGGAAUAUAUCAUGUAGCGGUGAAAUGCAUAGAUAUGAUAUAGAACACCGAUUGCGAAGGCAGCUCACUAAACUAUUACUGACGCUCAGGGACGAAAGCGUGGGGAGCGAACAGGAUUAGAAACCCUUGUAGUCC